UUUCCGUAGGUGAACCUGCGGAAGGAUCAUUAUUGUAUAACCGAGGUGCGAGGGCUGUCGCUGACCCGAAAGGUCGUGCACGCCCGAGUGCCCUCACACACAUCCAACUCACCCCUAUGUGCACCACCGCGUGGGUCCCCCUUUGGCUUGUUCGGAGGGGGGCUUACGUCUUCACACAAACUUUGUAUGCAGUGUAGAAUGUAUUUUUUGUUUUUGCGAUCACGCAAUCAAUACAACUUUCAACAACGGAUCUCUUGGCUCUC
rnacentral:misc_RNA from 1 species